rnacentral:rRNA from 1 species
AUUGAACGCUGGCGGCAUGCCUUACACAUGCAAGUCGAGCGGCAGCGCGGGGGGCAACCCUGGCGGCGAGCGGCGAACGGGUGAGUAAUGCAUCGGAACGUGUCCUCUUGUGGGGGAUAACCAGUCGAAAGACUGGCUAAUACCGCAUGAGAUCGAGAGAUGAAAGCGGGGGAUCGCAAGACCUCGCGCGAGAGGAGCGGCCGAUGCCGGAUUAGCUAGUUGGUGGGGUAACGGCCUACCAAGGCGACGAUCCGGAGCUGGUCUGAGAGGACGACCAGCCACACUGGGACUGAGACACGGCCCAGACUCCUACGGGAGGCAGCAGUGGGGAAUUUUGGACAAUGGGGGCAACCCUGAUCCAGCCAUGCCGCGUGUGUGAAGAAGGCCUUCGGGUUGUAAAGCACUUUCGGACGGAACGAAAUCGCGCGGGUGAACAAUCCGCGUGGAUGACGGUACCGUAAGAAGAAGCACCGGCUAACUACGAGCCAGCCGCCGCGGUAAGAC